GCGGGGUUUGUGCCCUGCUGAAAGCGCCUAAAAUUUCUAAAAUUAAUAUGGAAAUUCAUUGAUAUUUCUGAUAAAAUCAAGAUUUUUUUUUUCAAGACAAAGGUGACCAAAAUCCCUCAAAUUAAUAGGAACAUUUAUUAAUUUUUCUGAUAAAAUUGGGGAUUUUGGAGCUUUUUCUCCACAUUUUUGCCACGGAAAAAAUUCCUAAAAUCCCCAGGAUGAAUUCCAGCUGUGAAACUCCAGGAAUUUUUCCUCUGCAGGGAAUUUUCCCCACAUUUCUGCCAAGAAAAAAAUCCCUAAAAAUCCCUCAAAUUAAUAUCAAAAUCUAUUGAUAUUUUUGGAUAAAAUCAAGGAUUUUGGAGCUUUUUCUCCACAUUUUUGCCAUGAAAAAAAUUCCUAAAAUCCCCGGGAUGAAUUCCAGCUGUGAAACUCUGGGAAUUUUUCCUCUCCAGGGAAUUUUUCCUGGGAUUUGUGCCCCGCUGAAAGCCCCUAAAACUUCUAAAAUUAAUAUGGAAAUUCAUUGAUAUUUCUGAUAAAAUCAAGAUUUUUUUUUCUGAUAAAAUCAAGAUUUUUUUUUCAAGACAAAGGUGACCAAAAUCCCUCCAAUUAAUGUGAAAAUUUAUUAAUUUUUCUGAUAAAAUUGGAAUUUUUCCGGGGUUUUUCCCCUGCCAUUGACGGCAUUACCAGGCAGUAUUAGACAGAAAAUCCAGAUCUAACCGUGCCUGGUAAGACCCCAAUCUGCAGGAAAAUCCAUUUAUUUUUAAUUUUUUUUCCCUCAUCCAACAUGGGAAAACGAUCCCAAGGAAAAACGCAGCAAUUCCCAGGAUUCCAGGGAAUCUUGAACUCGUCCUGCUCAGUUUUUGAGGCAGGGAAAUGAUGAAAAUUCCGCUUUUUUUUGGCCUGGUUGGGGAAGGAAUUGGGAUUUUUAGGGAUUUACCGGGCGUGGAAUCCCUCUGGAGCAGCUCCCCAAAAACCUGGGAUGUCCCUCAUCCAUGAAUUCCCCUCGCUGAGGCCAAAAUUUUCAGGAUUCAGCCCCAAAAAGCUCCUAAAUAACCCCAAAAUCCAGCGCUGGAGUGAAGUGGAUUUCAGGAAGGGGGAACCAGUGGGAAAAGGGAGGGAAUUGAAGGAAAAGGGAAUUUUCCGGGGUUUUUCCUGGCUCUGGGAUGGGAUUUUCCUUUCUCUGGGAUUUUCCUGGCUCUGUUUUUGGGGUUUUUUUGGGUUUUUGGGGUUUUUUUGGUUUUUUGUGGGGGUUUUUUUUUGUGGGUUUUUUUUAUUAUUAUUAUUAUUAUUAUUAUUAUUAUUAUUAUUGUUAUUAUUAUUUGGUUUUUUUUUUUUUUGGUUUUUUGUUUGUUUGUUUGUGUUUUUUGUUUGUUUGGUUUUGGUUUUUGGGGUUUUUUUGGGGUUUUUUUUUGUUUUUUUGGGUUUUUUGUUUUUGUUUUUUUUUUUCCAGGGCCACAUUCCCACUUUCCCAUUGGAAUUUUCUCCUUUUUUUUUUUUGGGAUUUCUUUCCCCAAUUCCAAGAGGGGAUGAACAGGAGGGGGAAGGGCCCCAAUCCCAGGGAUUUACGGCCUGGGGAAAAUCCAAUUUCAGGAAUUCCUCCCCCAUUUCCUCAGGGCCUCCGGAGCAGUUACUCAUUAACACCGGGCCUUAAUUAAUCACCGCUCUGCUUCCUCCUUUCCUGCUUUUCCUGGGAA